CAGUCGCCGCGGUAAUACGUAGGUGGCAAGCGUUGUCCGGAAUUAUUGGGCGUAAAGGGCUCGCAGGCGGUUUCUUAAGUCUGAUGUGAAAGCCCCCGGCUCAACCGGGGAGGGUCAUUGGAAACUGGGAAACUUGAGUGCAGAAGAGGAGAGUAGAAUUCCACGUGUAGCGGUGAAAUGCGUAGAGAUGUGGAGGAACACCAGUGGCGAAGGCGACUCUCUGGUCUGUAACUGACGCUGAGGAGCGAAAGCGUGGGGAGCGGACAGGAUUAGAUACCCGCGUAGUCCCUGUCUCUUAUAC
rnacentral:rRNA from 1 species